rnacentral:tRNA from 1 species
AGCGGUAGAGCAAUUGUCUUAUACACAAUGGGCCGGGGGUCCGAAUCCCUCCAGGUGCA